AUACAACUUUCAGCAACCGAUCUCUUAGCUCUCGCAUCGAUGAAGAACGCAGCGAAAUGCGAUAAGUAAUGUGAAUUGCAGAAUUCAGUGAAUCAUCGAAUCUUUGAACGCACCUUGCACUCCUUGGUAUUCCGAGGAGUAUGCCUGUUUGAGUGUCAU
rnacentral:rRNA from 1 species